CCUACGGGUGGCAGCAGUGGGGAAUAUUGGACAAUGGGCGAAAGCCUGAUCCAGCCAUGCCGCGUGUGUGAAGAAGGCCUUCGGGUUGUAAAGCACUUUCAGUGGGGAAGAAAGCCUUGGGGCUAAUACCCUCGAGGAAGGACAUCACCCACAGAAGAAGCACCGGCUAACUCCGUGCCAGCAGCCGCGGUAAUACGGAGGGUGCGAGCGUUAAUCGGAAUUACUGGGCGUAAAGCGCGCGUAGGCGGUCUGAUAAGCCGGUUGUGAAAGCCCCGGGCUCAACCUGGGAACGGCAUCCGGAACUGUCAGGCUAGAGUGCAGGAGAGGAAGGUAGAAUUCCCGGUGUAGCGGUGAAAUGCGUAGAGAUCGGGAGGAAUACCAGUGGCGAAGGCGGCCUCCUGGACUGACACUGACGCUGAGGUGCGAAAGCGUGGGUAGCAAACAGGAUUAGAUACCCGGGUAGUC
rnacentral:rRNA from 1 species